rnacentral:rRNA from 1 species
CCCUUAGAUGUCCUGGGCUGCACGCGCGCUACACUGAUGUGUCCAGUAAGCACCUAACCUCUUCCGAAAGGAACGGGUAACCUUUGCAAAGCACAUCGUGAUGGGGAUAGAUUAUUGCAAUUAUUAGUCUUGAACGAGGAAUUCCUAGUAAGCACAAGUCAUCAGCUUGUGUUGAUUACGUCCCUGCCCUUUGUACACACCGCCCGUCGCUCCUACCGAUUGAAUGUUCCGGUGAGCUCUUCGGACUGCGCGGUCUGCAGUUUCUGCGUUCCGUGCGGAAAGUUGCGCAAACCUUAACAUUUAGAGGAAGGAGAAGUCGUAACG